GUAGUAUAGAGGACUACCAUGGUGGUAACGGGUAACGGAGAAUCAGGGUUUGAUUCCGGAGAAGGAGCCUGAGAAACGGCUACUACUUCCAAGGAAGGCAGCAGGCGCGCAAAUUACCCAAUCCCGACACGGGGAGGUAGUGACAAAAAAUAACAAUACCGAUCUAAAUACUAGUUUGGUAAUUGGAAUGAGUACAAUCUAAAACCUUUAACGAGUAUCAAUUGGAGGGCAAGUCUGGUGCCAGCAGCCGCGGUAAUUCCAGCUCCAAUAGCAUAUAUUAAAGUUGUUGCAGUUAAAAAGCUCGUAGUUGGAUUUUGAAGUUUAUAUAUUUUAACCCAUUUUUGUAAAUGUGUAUGUUGAAAUAUAUACUUCUCCUUACUAGUUUUUCAUUAUGUUUCUUUAUUGAUUCAUAAUUUCAUUUCUUUCGGGAAGUGAGUGAUAGUUAGACCUAUUGGAUUGAAGAUGUGGAUAAUCCUUUUUGGUUUGUUCUGCUUUGAUUCAAUAACUAAUUAUUAGAAUACUAGUUCUUUUACUUUGAGUAAAUUAGAGUGUUCAAGGCAAGCAUAAUUUUAAUGUUGCAAUGAAUACUAUUAGCAUGGGAUAAUGGAACAGGACACGUAUUCUAGUUUUCCGUUGGUUUCUAGAAUUUUUUGGUUCCUCUUUUUUGAGGAGCCGUAGUGUAAUGAUUAAAAGGGACAGUUGGGGGCAUUCGUAUUUCGAUGUCAGAGGUGAAAUUCUUGGAUUUUCGAAAGACGAACUUCUGCGAAAGCAUUUGUCAAAGAUGUUUUCAUUAAUCAAGAACGAAAGUUAGGGGAUCGAAGACGAUCAGAUACCGUCGUAGUCUUAACCAUAAACUAUGCCGACCAGGGAUUGGAAGAUGUAUUAUCCUAUGUAACAGUAGGAAAGCUCCUUCAGUACCUUACGAGAAAUCAUAAGUCUUUGGGUUCUGGGGGGAGUAUGGUCGCAAGGCUGAAACUUAAAGGAAUUGACGGAAGGGCACCACCAGGAGUGGAGCCUGCGGCUUAAUUUGACUCAACACGGGAAAACUUACCAGGUCCAGACACAGUUAGGAUUGACAGAUUGAGAGCUCUUUCUUGAUUCUGUGGGUGGUGGUGCAUGGCCGUUCUUAGUUGGUGGAGUGAUUUGUCUGGUUAAUUCCGAUAACGAACGAGACCUCAGCCUGCUAAUUAGUU
rnacentral:rRNA from 1 species